CCAAUAGCGUAUAUUAAAGUUGUUGCAGUUAAAAAGCUCGUAGUUGAAUUUCGAGAUCAAUUUGUUGGUCGUGCCUCGGUACGUACUGGCAAUUUUGGUUUCUCCCUUCUGAAGAACCAUGAUGUCAUUAAUUUGGUGUCAUGGGGAAUCAGGACUGUUACUUUGAAAAAAUUAGAGUGUUUAAAGCAGGCUCGCGCUUGAAUACAUUAGCAUGGAAUAA
rnacentral:rRNA from 1 species